GACUAUAAGUCUCCUGAAGGAACGUUGAAGACGACGACGUUGAUAGGUCGGGUGUGUAAGCGCAGCGAUGCGUUGAGCUAACCGAUACUAAUGAACCGUGAGGCUUAACCUU
rnacentral:rRNA from 1 species